rnacentral:rRNA from 1 species
GACGAACGCUGGCGGCGUGCUUAACACAUGCAAGUCGAACGGAAAGACCCUGCUUUUGUUGGUUUCUCGAUUGGCGAGCGGGUGAGUAACACGUGAGUAACCUGCCCUUGUCUGUGUGAUAACUUCUCGAAACUGGGGCGAAUACCGGGGAUAAUCUCCUGCUGCAUGUGGUUGGUUGGAAAGAUUCGGCGUUUGGGGAUGGUAUCGCGGCUUAUCAGCUUGUUGGGGGGGUAGUUGCUGACCAAGGCUUUGACGGGUAGCCCGCCUGAGAGGGUUGCCGGCCACAUUGGGACUGAGAUACGGACCAGAAUGCUACGGGAGGCAGAAGGGGGGAAUCUUGCACAAUGGGGGGAAGCCUGAUGCAGCAGCGCCGCGUGCGGGAUGCCGGCUUUUGGGUUGUAAACAGCUUUCGCAUGUGACGAAGAGUGCGUGACGGUAAUGGGUCAAGAAGCCCCGGCUAACUACGUG